UACGUAGGGGGCAAGCGUUGUUCGGAAUUACUGGGCGUAAAGGGCGCGUAGGCGGCACAGCAAGUCGGGAGUGAAAGCCCGGGGCUCAACCCCGGAAUGGCUUUCGAAACUGCCGAGCUAGAGUACAGAAGGGGCAACCGGAAUUCCCAGUGUAGCGGUGAAAUGCGUAGAUAUUGGGAAGAACACCUGAGGCGAAGGCGGGUUGCUGGGCUGAUACUGACGCUGAGGCGCGAAAGCCAGGGGAGCAAACGGG
rnacentral:rRNA from 1 species